rnacentral:rRNA from 1 species
UACGUAGGUGGCAAGCGUUGUCCGGAUUUAUUGGGCGUAAAGCGAGCGCAGGCGGUUCCUUAAGUCUGAUGUGAAAGCCCACGGCUCAACCGUGGAAGGUCAUUGGAAACUGGGGAAUCUGAGUGCAGAAGAGGAGAGUGGAAUUCCAUGUGUAGCGGUGAAAUGCGUAGAUAUAUGGAGGAACACCAGUGGCGAAGGCGACUCUCUGGUCUGUAACUGACGCUGAGGCUCGAAAGCGUGGGGAGCAAACAGGAUUA